AGUGAACGCUGGCGGCGUGCUUAACACAUGCAAGUCGAACGAGAACGGGUUAUAGCUUGCUAUAAUUGUCAGCUAAGUGGCGCACGGGUGAGUAAUGUAUAGGUAAUAUGCCUCUUACUAAGGGAUAACAAAUGGAAACGUUUGCUAAUACCUUAUACUCCUUAUUAACAGAAGUUAAUAAGGGAAAGAUUUAUUGGUAAGAGAUUAGCCUGUAUUGUAUCAGUUAGUUGGUGGGGUAAUGGCUUACCAAGACUAUGACACAUAACUGGUUUGAGAGGAUGAUCAGUCACACUGGAACUGAGACACGGUACAGACACCUACGGGAGGCAGCAGUGGGGAAUAUUGCACAAUGGACGAAAGUCUGAUGCAGCAACGCCGCGUGGAGGAUGACACAUUUCGGUGCGUAAACUCCUUUUAUAUGAGAAGAUAAUGACGGUAUUAUAUGAAUAAGCACCGGCUAACUCCGUGCCAGCCGCCGCAGUAA
rnacentral:rRNA from 1 species